UUUCUCAAAAUCACUUUUUCUCCGAAAUCCCUUUUCCUUCGCAGAUCGAGAAUCUCCACCGGAAUCACUUUUCAUGAAAUCACCGUUCUCUAUUGAAACCGUUGUUUUCCCGAUGAAAAUUGCUACUUCUCCGUCAUCGAAACCGCUGCCUCUCCUUCAUCAAUUGAAAUCAUCACUUCUCUGUCAUCGAUUGAAAUCAUUGUUUCUCUUUCAUCUAUCAAAAUUUCUACUUCUCCUUCUUCGUUGGAAAUAACUGCUUCAACUUUCUCUUCAUUGAAAAUCGCUGCUUCAAAUUUCAAAUUAGUUACUUUACCAUUCGAGAAAUCGCUCACACAUUUCUCAAAACCUAAUAUUUCAGUUCGUUGUGGCGACAUCUCUUUUCGAUCAUCGCUACAACUAUGUAUUUUCUCCUAUCGAUAUUCUAUUUAUCCUGAUUUUAAGGUAUAGUUGAACUUUUGAUUAGGAAAAUCAUUUGUGUAUUUGAUAUCCUCUUUGUAAAAUGAGUUUGGAAAAAUAAUUUAAAUGCUUGUACUUAGAUUCUUAUAUUCGUCUAUAGCACCACUACUAACUGGACAUCAACAGAGGUUAUGAUGGGAAAGAUGUGGUUGUUGAAAAUUUAAGGCAGCUAUGUGUUUUCAAGGUGGAAAAAGAAACAGAAAAGUCUUGGGUGUAGUGGCACUUUGUCACUGAUUUUCAAAUCAGAUGCAUGAUGAAGGAGAAAAAUGAUGGAAUGUGCAAACUCUGUCAUUAAAUCUCUGGGUGAGUGAAUCAUCGUGCUUAUCAUCGGGAUUAUCUUGUUUACUUUUCAUAAGUUGUACUUUGAAAGAACAGCAAGAUGUCCAAGUAUUGUCCUUUAUAGUUGCUUUUAGUUUACGUCAAUAUUUAAUUCUUUGUAACAUUAUAUUUACUUGUUGAUGUUUAUUGAAACCGGUUUUGUAGAUUAUGAAGGGAUCACGUAGUGAUGUUAGCAUAUUGCCUACUCUUGUUGUCAAUAACAGACAAUAUCGGUUUAUCUUACAUGCUCAUGUGACAAAUUGUAUUAGUAAUCAGUUAUCGAGUUCUAAAAAGAACCUUUCCUGGUAAAUUGGUCGUUCUAAAGGCUAUUUGUUCUGGGUUUGAGGAAACUACUGACCCAGCUUUUUGUUUGAGCAACAGUAAUUGUUUACUUGCCUUUGUUACAAGGGACAACUGAUGUGUAGACUAGUUUUUAGACCUUAUACUGAUGUGUUUUUGGGCAGAUAUGGAAACAAAUGAGUGUUUGACAAACAACGGUGGUUGUUGGCAGGAUAAAACAGAUAAUAUCACUACAUGCAAGGAUACAUUCCAUGGACGAGUAUGUAAAUGCCCCUUGGUUAAUGGUGUGCAAUUCAAAGGAGAUGGUUAUAAAACUUGAGAAGGUGAAAUGGCUUUCAUCUUUACAUAAAAUUUAUUUCUAAGAGUGCUUAACAUAAAAUUUACUUCUAUGUUGUGCAUAACAGGUUGUAAAUUGUAAUGAUGAUACUUUGCUAUAAGACAUCUGUGAUUUUUUCCUGGUGUGCACUCGGAGUUGUGCACAACUAGCUAUUUUUUGUUUGCAGGUAGUGUACCUGGGCGUUGCAAGAUUAACAAUGGAGGCUGUUGGCAUGAUGCCCAGAACGACCAUGCAUUUCCUGCUUGUAUGGAUGAUGGGGGAUUAAAUGUCAGUGUCAUGCCGGGUUUAAAGGUGAUGGUGUAAAAAAUUGUGAGGGUAAAAAAAAUCAGAAUUCAUAAGUUGAACGUUAUCUAUUUUAUUUUGGCAGACGUUGAUGAAUGCAAAGAUAAGAAAGCUUUAUUAGUGAAAGUUGUAUUUACUAGCAAACACAUAUUGUCUUAAAUGGAGACAUAAAAGUGGGGGCUGAUUGAUUUCUAAUCAUUUUCUAUGCUAGCUUACUGAGUUUUGUCCCAUGAAAUUUUGUUCUUGUUUACUUUAUCUUACCAAUAAAAUGGUCCAUUGUCUCUAAUUUUAUAUUUUCAGAAAGUUGCUUAACAAAAUCAAUUCGUUCAUUUUAGAGGUAGUCUAUGUAUGUAAAGUUAUCUGUGUUAUCAACCUUAGGUCUCACUGCUAAUAAAAUUUGAGGGUGGAAAAAAGUAAAUUUAAUAUUAGUUGUUUUGAUAAGUUGUCUUAGAAAACUUAUUAAGAUCAAUUGCUUUUAUGUAGGUGAAACUAUGUCAAAAUAUCCAAUCAAAGAUUAUAUACAAUGCUUGAUGCUCAUAAAUGAAACUAUUUUUACCUUAUGAGUUAUUUGAUUUAAUUUUCCUUAUAUGCAAGGUUUGGUUGGGACUGAUUAAUAUUAUGCCUAUAAUGAUGGUGAGGAAAAUGAUGGUGAAGAAGAGAGGCAGCUCAUUUAGGUGAAAAAAAAUCAACAACAAUCACUCAAGUGAGGAAUUGGAGUAAGGAUCCACUCCAUUUCUUACACUCCAUUUCUUUUCCAUUACUAUAGUUUUAUGUACAUAAAGUUAAAUAAAUAAUAAAUAUGUGUCACAUGUCUUAGAAAUCCGUGUAAUAUACACAAAAAACUAUGGUAAUGGAAAAGAAAUGGAGGGUAAAAAAUGGAGUGGAUCCUUACUCGAGGAAUUGAUGCAAACAAUGCAAAAAAAUUCAUAUAGUAUUAGACAUGCUUAAAUAUGAUAGUUGCAAACAUAAAAAAAAAAUGUUAGCUGCAAAAUAUAUUUCUUUGAUAUUUUGAUUAUUGUAAUGACUAGUGGAUUAGUCCUACAAGAUGAAUAUAUAUGAACAUGAAAAUGUUUUUUAACUGUAUUUUCAUUUUAGUGAUAAACUAAAAAUUAUAUUAUUUAAAAAAGUCGAUUUAAUUUAUUUAAAUAAAAGUCUAAUUAGUUUAAAUAGUUUUUUUAAAUGAUAGUUGAUAUUUAUUUAAAAUUAGUCUAAUUAGUUUUGAUUUUAAAUAGUCUAAUUAAGAUUUAUUAAAAAAUCAAAAUAAAAAUAGUUGUAAAAUUGUUCCAAAUAUUAGCUUGAGAUUUGAUAUGAUAUUUUCGUAGCCAUAAUGUAGCUUUAUAGUUGGAAAAUAUAACUUCAACAUCAAUAUUUUGCUACAGUUUUGUUUUAGUUUAGCUAGGAAUAUUUUAAUAUUAGUUGGAGUUUUCUUAGGAAAAUUUUGCCAAGACAAUUACCCACUCAAUCCAUGCUAGGGCAUAUUUUGUAGUUAAUCUCCAAUAAAUCUCCAACUAAUUCUGUUUGAUAGAGAUUAACUACAAUCUAGCUAGUAUAUUUGCCGUAGCUAAUUGAAGAUUUUCUUGUAGUGAAGUAAAAACCUUCUUAAACCAACCUUGCAAAAAUUGAGAACCAGUAACCACUCUUUCUGUCUUUUGGUCAUCCAAAUUCCACCAACAAAUGCAUGUUAUCUACUUCAUUUAGUAUACUGCCAACAAAUUUACUGCUACUUACACUAUAAGAAAAUAUAAGAUUUGCUACCUUAAUUUUACUACAGAAUAAAAUGGUAGCUAAUCUCAAACUAAUAAGUUAUUAAAUGACUUCAUUUAAUUUUUUAUUAAUUUAUUUUUAGUUAUUAUUUCAAAACUU